CGAGACUCCUACGGGAGGCAGCAGUGGGGGAUAUUGCACAAUGGGGGGAACCCUGAUGCAGCGACGCCGCGUGGGUGAAGAAGCGCCUCGGCGCGUAAAGCCCUGUCAGCAGGGAAGAAAAUGACGGUACCUGAAGAAGAAGCCCCGGCUAACUACGUGCCAGCAGCCGCGGUAAUACGUAGGGGGCAAGCGUUAUCCGGAUUUACUGGGUGUAAAGGGGGCGCAGACGGCCAUGCAAGCCUGGAGUGAAAGCCCGGGGCCCAACCCCGGGACUGCUCUGGGAACUGUGCGGCUGGAGUGCGGGAGGGGCAGGCGGAAUUCCUGGUGUAGCGGUGAAAUGCGUAGAUAUUAGGAGGAACACCAGUGGCGAAGGCGGCCUGCUGGGCUUUUACUGACGCUGAGGCUCGAAAGUGUGGGGAGCAAACAGGAUUAGAUACCCCAGUA
rnacentral:rRNA from 1 species